AGGUUUGCACAGUGCCAGUAUCACAGCCAAUGAGGUUUAUCUGAGCACGAGUAUUGCUAAUUGAAAACUUUUCCCAAUACCCCACCCUGACAACUCGCAAUAUAGUUGGCACUGGCAACUUUUGACAGUCUCUAUGGAGA
ensembl:snRNA U4 U4 spliceosomal RNA